rnacentral:rRNA from 1 species
CAGCAGCCGCCGCGGUAAAACAGAGGGUGCGAGCGUUAAUCGGAUUUACUGGGCGUAAAGCGUGCGUAGGCGGCUAAUUGAGUCGGAUGUGAAAUCCCCGAGCUUAACUUGGGAAUUGCAUUCGAUACUGGUUAGCUAGAGUGUGGGAGAGGAUGGUAGAAUUCCAGGUGUAGCGGUGAAAUGCGUAGAGAUCUGGAGGAAUACCGAUGGCGAAGGCAGCCAUCUGGCCUAACACUGACGCUGAGGUACGAAAGCAUGGGGAGCAAACAGGAUUAGAUACCCCUGUAGUCCCUGUCUCUUAUAC